UGCUCACCGUCACCUGAGUCGGAACACUGACCUUCCUGCUAAGAGGCUGGAGAGCAGAAUCCUGUGGGGAAGAUGAGAGCAGAGAGCUUACGGACGCUGGGAACUACUGGACAGGAUUAAAUGAGGCGUUCUGAGUGUCUGCGGCGUUCUGACGAUUUCGAGAUAUUCCACAUCGGUGUCCCUGUACCACGCAUAAUAACCCGACUUCCCCCGAUGAAGGAAAGAGAUGCCACUCGUCACUCUUCUGGAGCUUCAGGUCACUCACUGGUGGCAGGAGAGAUGAAGAGGAACCCUUGAGAAAAUUCUCUUGCAUCCUGGUGGAAGAGAUGACCCACCCAAACCAGUGGCUCAUCUGGAAGAACUGACUCAACUGGUCUGUGAUCGUCACCCAGGAAGUGACUUAGCAAAGAAGAUAAUUUCUACACCACUGUGUUUCUGCCCCGCCCCCCCCCCCACACACACACACACAACCAAUUACCAGAUUCAACUGCUUAGCCCUUUGGCCUGCCAAACUAUUUUUAAA